rnacentral:rRNA from 1 species
CGUGUAGGCGGUUCGUUAAGUCGGGUGUGAAAGCCCGGGGCUCAGCUCCGGAAGUGCGCCCGAAACUGGCGAGCUGGAGCGCGGUAGAGGAGGGUGGAAUUCCUGGUGUAGCGGUGAAAUGCGUAGAUAUCAGGAGGAACACCGGCGGCGAAGGCGGCCCUCUGGACCGUUGCUGACGCUGAGACGCGAAAGCGUGGGGAGCAAACAGGAUUAGAUACCCUGGUAGUCCACGCUGUAAACGAUGGGUACUAGGUGUUCGGGGUGUUGACCCCCUGAGUGCCGACGCUAACGCAUUAAGUACCCCGCCUGGGGACUACGGCCGCAAGGUUAAAA